rnacentral:rRNA from 1 species
UACGUAGGGUGCAAGCGUUAAUCGGAAUUACUGGGCGUAAAGCGUGCGCAGGCGGUUUUGUAAGUCUGUCGUGAAAUCCCCGGGCUCAACCUGGGAAUUGCAGUCGAGACUGCUCGGCUAGAGUGUGGGAGAGGGUGGUGGAAUUCCCGGUGUAGCGGUGAAAUGCGUAGAUAUCGGGAGGAACAUCAGUGGCGAAGGCGACCACCUGGCCCAACACUGACGCUGAGGUGCGAAAGCGUGGGUAGCAAACAGG